GGCGCGGCUCCCCUCAGCGCGGCUCCCCUCAGCGCGGCUGGAGCGGUGUGGGACGCGGCCCUGUGAGGGGCUGCGGGGAGGGGUUUGCCUUCAGUGGAGCGGUUUUUUCGAUGCCAACGCCGAACGGGAGUAACCUGUGGAGCCGAGGGAGUGCUGCGACCUAAUGUGAAACCUGAGUGAGGGGCGCUGAGCGGGAGAGCCCGGCAGCACUGAGGUGUGUGGCGGUGCCAGAACCCCUCAGCGCUACGGAGCCCGCAGAGGUGGGCUGUGCAGGGGCUGGAGUCCCGCUUCCUGUAACACGAGCAUUGCCAGGAGCAUCCCAUCACGGGCACGGCCAUUUAGGAGCAGCUGGGUGCGUUGAAAGACCAUCUUCAAGGUAUCUGGAAAAUUAAUGGAGUCUACGUUAUGUCAUCAGUCUGGUAGGAUCGGGUGGAGACGUGAUGGCCUUGGAAUGUCAUAGGUUUGCAGAAAGAGAGGAGUGCUGACUUGGAGCAUCCCUGAGAUGUUGUGUGCUACCAGCUUCAGUGCUUCCAGCCUUGAAUGUGGAUGGAAUUAAGUCUCGUGCCAUACCCACUUGUUGUCCACAAGUUGCUGGGACCUUGUAUGUCUCUGACAGUGAAAGGACGAUACUGCUGAAACACACGUGUGUAAAGUGGCCAAAGACUGACAGAAAGGUAGAGUAAAAGAAAACUUUGAGAGUCAUUUUUUUCCAGAUUAAAUUGUUUGAUCUGGCACUAAUACAUCACUCAGGCAAGCUUCAGUUAAAGUCGGUUCUGCUCUCUUUUUAUGUGCCUCCUACUGCCUCUGAAUAAAUCUUACACCCUUCUCCACUGAGCAGUAUUCAAAUACUCCCUGUUCUGAGGCCUCUGCCAGCCUAACAUGAACUUGAAAGCUGAAACUCAAGAAAUAAUUUUUCCUGAUUUUUUUAAAAAUUAAUUAUUUUUAUUGCUGCAUUGAGCAAUAAUGCUUGCACUGCCAGGGAGUUGGCAGUUGUGAUGGGGAUGCACGUUAUCGAUGUUGGGUGGUAAUGGGCAAUCCAACGCCAUUUCUGUGUCUCAUAGCUGCUGCAUCAUUUCAUGUAGCAAUAAACACUGCAAACUCUCAUAACUUUCAGAGAAUGCCUAUGAUUUAUGGCUUAUAGCCCAAAUAACCAAACACAUAAAUAAAUAAUUUCACCUUUCAGUCUGGAAAUAUAUGUAUAUAACUCUAUGUAUCAUCUGUAUACCCAGACCUAUAUAACUUCUGGCAUGACCUUUCUCGUGUUGCUUUUUAAAAAGCUUCUAUAGCUGAAAAAAUGGGCAAGGUUGGGAGAAAAAAAAAUCAUGGAGAAAAACAAGGUUUAAAAGGCAAGAAAUGAGGACAGUUUGUGUAAGAUUUUAUUUGUGCAGGAUAUGUCUAAGGGGAGAGGGGAAUAACGUUGUGUGCUGUUUUGAUUGGUUUUGGAGAUAGCUGGUCAUUUUGCAUAUGGCAGAAUGUUUAAAUAUUUUGGUAACAUUUUUACAAAACUUCAUGUCUCCGAAAGGGAAGAUUCCUUUUUUGCUGUAAAUGAAAUGGCUGUUCUCAGAGAAGUGUAUGAGAUCACGUUUGUCGAUGUGUAUUCCAGUUUCAUUCACCUUCUAGCCCACAGACUUUACUAGGAGGCGUUGCUGAUCUGCAUAUAUUGUGACAAGGUUUCGGUAUAUCAGAGUGGAUCACACAAAUGUAGUGCCUAAUCCAGAGGACACAAAGCAGUGCAGAC